UACUGUGAUUUCAGGAGUGUCUUAAAAACCCUCUAAAACAGAGGGGAAGUUCCAAGAGAAUUUCUAAUGGGAGCUGCUGACAGAGAUAGAAAACACAGUUUGUUUAUUUCUAAUAAGGAGCUGGAGGCUGUGGAGAAGCAGAUCCGUGACCUCGUGGAGAAGCAGGCCCAGCAGAGAGUGGAGAGCUGUGCUGGAAACAUUCAGGGGUUGACGCUCAUAAGUCCAGGCGUAAGACAUGAACCAGGACCUGGGCGAU